AGCAUAUCAAUAAGCGGAGGAAAAGAAACCAACAGGGAUUGCCUCAGUAACGGCGAGUGAAGCGGCAACAGCUCAAAUUUGAAAUCUGGCGCAAGCCCGAGUUGUAAUUUGCAGAGGAUGUUUCGGGUGAAGCCACGGUCCAAGUCCCUUGGAACAGGACGUCAUAGAGGGUGAGAACCCCGUACCUGGCCGUCGGUGCCCCCCGCUGUGAAACUCCUUCGACGAGUCGAGUUGUUUGGGAAUGCAGCUCUAAAUUGGUGGUAAAUUCCAUCCAAAGCUAAAUACCGGCCAGAGACCGAUAGCGCACAAGUAGAGUGAUCGAAAGAUGAAAAGCACUUUGAAAAGAGAGUUAAAAAGUACGUGAAAUUGUUGAAAGGGAAGCGCUUGCGGCCAGACUUGCCCGCGGUUGCUCAGCCCGCCCUUUGGCGGGUGCACUCUUCCGCGGUCAGGCCAGCAUCGGUUUGGGCGGCCGGAUAAAGGCGUUGGGAACGUAGCCUCCCCUCGGGGAGGUGUUAUAGCCCGGCGCGCAAUGCGACCAGCCCGGACCGAGGUUCGCGCUCUGCUAGGAUGCUGGCGUAAUGGCCGUAAGCGGCCCGUCUUGAAACACGGACCAAGGAGUCUAACAUCUAUGCGAGUGUUUGGGUGUCAAACCCGUGCGCGUAAUGAAAGUGAACGGAGGUGGGAACCGCAAGGUGCACCAUCGACCGAUCCUGAUGUCUUCGGAAGGAUUUGAGUAAGAGCAUAGCUGUUGGGACCCGAAAGAUGGUGAACUAUGCGUGAAUAGGGUGAAGCCAGAGGAAACUCUGGUGGAGGCUCGCAGCGGUUCUGACGUGCAAAUCGAUCGUCAAAUUUGCGUAUAGGGGCGAAAGACUAAUCGAACCAUC
rnacentral:rRNA from 1 species